GGCGCACGGGUGAGUAACGCGUGGGUAUCUGCCCUGGAGUGGGGGGACAACUGCUGGAAACGGCAGCUAAUACCGCAUACGCCCUUAGGGGGAAAGCUUUAUGCGCUCCAGGAUGAGCCCGCGUCGGAUUAGCUUGUUGGUGAGGUAACGGCUCACCAAGGCAACGAUCCGUAGCUGGUCUGAGAGGAUGAUCAGCCACACUGGGACUGAGACACGGCCCAG
rnacentral:rRNA from 1 species